rnacentral:lncRNA from 1 species
GAGCGUUUUUGAGGGUGGUUUUAAUUUUUUUUUAUUUAUUUUCAUUGAAUCUUUGAAAAAUCAAAAUAAGUCAUAGAAAAAUCAUAAAAGGAAAAAUCUAAGCUUGUUGGACUUAACAUGAGUAGAUUUGCACAGUGAACAUGUAAUAUGGUAUGCUUUAGUAUAAAGUUUUUGCUACAAAUUUUAAAUCUAUGUUUUUUCUAUAAAUAAUUAGAAUAAUUCAUAUAUGCAGUUUCUAUGGUCUAAUUAUGGUGAUUUUUUAAUGGGCUA